rnacentral:rRNA from 1 species
AGAGUUUGAUCAUGGCUCAGUGACGAACGCUGACGGUGUGCUUUAUGCAUGCAAGUCGAACGAGAAAGCCCUUCGGGGUUAGUAAAGUGGCGAACGGGUGAGUAACACGUGGGCAACCUGCCCCUCGCAGGGUGGACAACCGGAGGAAACUCCGGCUAAUACCCCGUACGCUUGUUGGAUCGCAUGGUCCGGCAAGGAAAGGUAGCUUCGGCCAUCCGGCGAGGGAUGGGCCCGCGUUGCAUUAGCUAGUUGGUGGGGUAACGGCUCACCAAGGCAACGAUGCGUAGCUGGUCUGAGAGGAUGAUCAGCCACACUGGGACUGAGACACGGCCCAGACUCCUACGGGAGGCAGCAGCCAGGAAUCUUGGGCAAUGGGCGAAAGCCUGACCCAGCAACACCGUGUGGGUGACGAAGGCCUUAGGGUCGUAAAGCCCUGUUGAUAGGGACGAAGGGCAAAGGGUUAAUAGCCCCCAGCUUGACGGUACCUUUCGAGGAAGCCCCGGCUAACUACGUGCCAGCAGCCGCGGUAAUACGUAGGGGGCUGAGCGUUGUCCGGAAUUAUUGGGCGUAAAGAGCGUGUAGGCGGUUCGGUAAGUCUGCUGUGAAAUCCUAGGGCUCAACCCUGGGCGUGCAGCGGAUACU